CAUCCAUGCUAUCUCCUAAAGCAGUCAUUCUGAAACCCAAUCUGGGGACAGUGCAGACUAAAUAAAAUUUCAUUUUGAUUUGGCCUCCUGCUGCGAACGGGACUGCUUUGUCUCAGCCGGCAGAAUCAGCAAGCCAGAAAGGUACCAAAUGUGGGGACAGAUGUUCCUCUGGAACCAGCAGGAAAACUCUACAAAGUCCACAGUGUUCUUAUUCCAAGUGUGCUGAGAGCAAAGGCCAGAUAUGAGUACCCUCACUCUGCAAAACAGAAAGAGUUGAAAAGAAAACUCAUGUCUGUCUGCUGUGGUCCAGGCUGCUGCUGCUCCUGCUGCUGCAAGUGGAAAAAGGAAAGUCACACUGCGAGGACUGCAGAUGUGCUGAACACUGCUAGCACCCCAUGUCUGAUGGCUUGCUCUUUGGCAUGAGCAUGCUGACUGAUUGCUUGACACUUAAACUGUGUAAAUAUGCACAGCAAAUCCUUUCUUCCAAGGAUCCUUUCCCAGAGCUCUCUCUUUUACAGCAAAGCAGGAUGCUUCUCCCCUCUUAAAAAAAAAGAAAGAAAGAAAGAAAAAGGAAAGAAAAAAGAAAAACAGUUCCGAUCUCCUGAUAAAGAGAAAAUGAUGUCAUCAGCUUGGGCCACUCCUGUGUUUUGCUUUCCAAUUCCUAUUCUGAUAAUUUCUUCUCCUAUCCCAUUUUCUUGAAAUAUUGUAUAAUUCUCCUAAAUAAAAUCCUGACUCCCCAAAGCCA